UGAGGCAGGAGAAUUGCUUGAACCCAGGAAGUGGAGGUUGCAGUGAGCCGAGAUCAUGCCACUGCACUCCAGCCUGGGUGACAGAGCGAGACUC
rnacentral:miRNA from 1 species